rnacentral:rRNA from 1 species
UACGUAGGCAGCAAGCGUUGUUCGGAAUUACUGGGCGUAAAGAGUGUGUAGGCGGUGUUCUAAGUUUGUCGUGAAAUCUCCCGGCUUAACCGGGAGGGUGCGGCGAAAACUGGAAUGCUAGAGGGUGGGAGAGGAAAGCGGAAUUCCUGGUGUAGCGGUGAAAUGCGUAGAUAUCGGGAGGAACACCUGUGGCGAAAGCGGCGCACUGGACCAUAACUGACGCUGAGGCGCGAAAGCUAGGGGAGCAAACAGG